GAUGAACGCUGGCGGCGUGCCUAAUACAUGCAAGUCGAGCGAACAGACGAGGAGCUUGCUCCUUCGACGUUAGCGGCGGACGGGUGAGUAACACGUAGGUAACCUACCUAUAAGACUGGGAUAACUUCGGGAAACCGGAUCUAAUACCGGAUAAUAUUUCGAACCGCGUGGUUCGAUAGUGAAAGAUGGCUUUGCUAUCACUUCUAGCUGGAUCUCCGCCGUAUUAGGUAGUUGUUAAGGUAACGGCUUACCAAGGCGACGAUACGUAGCCGACCUGAGAGGGUGAUAGGCCACACUGGAACUGAGACACGGUCCAGAGUACUACGGGAGGCAGCAGUAGGGAAUGUGACGCAAUGGGCGAAAGCCUGACGGAGCAAGGCCGAGUGAGUGAUGAAGGUCUUCGGAUCGUAAAACCCUGUUAUUAGGGAAGAACAGACGUGUAAGUAACUGUGCACGUAGUGACGGUACCUAAUCAGAAAGCAACGGCUAACUACGUG
rnacentral:rRNA from 1 species